rnacentral:lncRNA from 1 species
UUAGGUAUAAAAAAUGUAAAUUUUCUGAGGGAAAGAACCCUCUGUUAUAAAAAAUUAAAAAUCCAGAUUUCGGGAUCGGAGUUAUGCGAUUUCAAAUUUUAAUAUUUCGGUAAGAAGUGUAAUCUUUCAAGAACUUGAAAGUGCAGCUUUUGAGUGUUACAAAUUUCUAUUUAGUCUUAAAAUUGUUGAACCUUUUGUUGCUUGGCUUAAAAUUUUAUUUUUUCGCCUCGAGUCACUGGCCACAAGAUUUUAAAAGAAAGAAAGGACUUGA